AGUCUCUCACCGCUCAGACAGACACUUCGCUUUCCCCGCCGCCUGCUCUCCCCGCCGCCUGCUCUCCCCGCUGCAUCCUCUCCUUUGCACGCCGCCUCCACUCCAGCCCGCCGGCGCACUCCGUCUCCUCUCCCCAACAUGGCCUCGCCUCGCCUCAUGGCCAACCCCGCCGGUGUUCCGUAGAUGGACUCUACCGCCUCCGUGCCCCGACGCAGAUCAAGCCGUGAGCUGCUGGAUGUGAUGCGGGGCGGGCAUCUCGGAGCGAACUGAGAUCCACUGCGUGUACGUGGUGAGGACGCUUCGACCUAGAGCUCCAUGGCGUCCCACAACCACGAGCACCUCAGGUUCAGUCGGCGCCAGAUUGAGGAGAGUCGCGCCGUCGUCAAGGGCCAUGGAACUCGGGACGCCGCCGCCCUGCCCCCGCUCCGACGCCAUCAAGCAUCACCAACUCAGCUCGAUGUAGGGGGAGGAUGCUUCUUCUUCUUGGGACGUCGGGUCGUCGUGGAAGGCUUGAAGUGGCGCUCAUCACCCAGUAUGAUGGGAAGAUUCAAUGCCAGAGUCGACAUUAUUGACAUUUUCCUUGUUAGAAACGGCACUGUGGGGUGUUUUUAAUGAAUUUGGACCAUGAAAUGGAGUCUCAUCGGACAUCAUCACAUCAACAGUGGCAGGCUGGAAGUACUCCGAUGUCGACCAAUGUCCUUGAGAUGGUGCGGCCACCAGGGUGAGGACGGUGUGGACACCGAAGCUAGGGCGGCGUGUCGGGAUGGCGCCAGGUUUCCUUGAGACGGCGGCCAGCGAGUCGAGGACGUUAUGGACACCAGAUCUAGGGCAGGUCGUCGGGACGGCGCCAGGUUUCCUCGAGACGGCACCUGCUAGGGCAGGUUCGUGGCCUGGUGGCGGUGUUUUUUUUUUCUAUUUAGCUGUUGGUGGCGGCGUUGAUCACGGACGUGCUGUUUAAUUUCGUGGGCUCCCAUCGUUGGGUUGUCUAGCAUCCUAAGCGGGGAGUCUGCCGGCAGAACAUUUGUUUUGAACCGUAGAUCUGAUUGUAGUAUGGUGAAUGUAACGUGGACAGUUGGAUGGAACUUAAUGGGUCAGAUCGGACGUGGGGGGUUA